AUUGCUUCUCAGCCUCGUGGCUAAGAUCACAGUAUCUGUAUCGCACAGUAUCUGUUCUUAUUAGUUUAAUAGCUGAAAUGUCCUUUAUUUGAGGACUGUGUAUUAAAUUUAUUUUUGGAACAGAGGGCUGGAAUAGGAGCUUGCUCUGUCCGUGCCAUGCAUUGACCUGGUAUUGCAAUGCCUCCAGGAACGGUGCAUCUCCC
rnacentral:snRNA from 1 species